rnacentral:rRNA from 1 species
CACGUAGGGCGCGAGCGUUGUCCGGAAUUAUUGGGCGUAAAGAGCUCGUAGGCGGCCUGUUGCGUCCGCUGUGAAAGCCCGGGGCUUAACCCCGGGUCGCAGUGGAUACGGGCAGGCUAGAGGUAGGCAGGGGAGAAUGGAAUUCCCGGUGUAGCGGUGAAAUGCGCAGAUAUCGGGAGGAACACCGGUGGCGAAGGCGGUUCUCUGGGCCUUACCUGACGCUGAGGAGCGAAAGCGUGGGGAGCGAACAGG